rnacentral:piRNA from 1 species
UGGGCAGGUACAAAAGGGCAUUCCUCCAGC